rnacentral:rRNA from 1 species
UACGUAGGGGGCAAGCGUUGUCCGGAUUCAUUGGGCGUAAAGAGCGUGUAGGCGGCCAGGUAGGUCGGUUGUGAAAACUGGAGGCUCAACCUUCAGAGGUCGACCGAAACCAUCUGGCUAGAGUCCGGGAGAGGAGAGUGGAAUUCCUGGUGUGAGCGGUGAAAUGCGUAGAGUAUCUGGAGGAACACCGGUGGCGAAGGCGGCAUCCUGGACCAACACUGACACUGAGGAGCGAAAGCCAGGGGAGCAAACGGG